rnacentral:rRNA from 1 species
UUGAACGCUGGCGGCAUGCCUUACACAUGCAAGUCGAACGGUAGUGUAGCAAUACUCGAGAGUGGCGAACGGGUGAGUAAUAUAUCGGAACGUGCCCAGUCGUGGGGGAUAACGUAGAGAAAUUUACGCUAAUACCGCAUACGAUCUACGGAUGAAAGCGGGGGACUCGCAAGGGCCUCGCGCGAUUGGAGCGGCCGAUGGCAGAUUAGGUAGUUGGUGGGGUAAAGGCUCACCAAGCCUGCGAUCUGUAGCUGGUCUGAGAGGACGACCAGCCACACUGGGACUGAGACACGGCCCAGACUCCUACGGGAGGCAGCAGUGGGGAAUUUUGGACAAUGGGCGCAAGCCUGAUCCAGCCAUUCCGCGUGCAGGAUGAAGGCCUUCGGGUUGUAAACUGCUUUUGUACGGAACGAAAAGGCUCUGGUGAAUACCUGGGGCUCAUGACGGUACCGUAAGAAUAAGCACCGGCUAACUACGU